GUGGAUUGUAAUGAUUGUAAUAAUAUAACUGUAGUUAUUAUUAUGUGUGAAAUAUGGGUUCAUAAUUCUGGGAAGUUAUUAUAAUAAUUAUACCAUAAUACUAACAUUUAAAUAUAUAUUUAUUUUAUUUUAUUUAGUUGAAAUUAUAUUACUGUACGAUUUGUGUAGUUUUUUCUUCAACUUCUCCUUUACCUUCAUCCUAAAUAUUUGGUGUUGGUCUUUCUCGUCAUAACUCAUUCUCGUCAAUUGAUUCGAUCUCUCAAGUCUCUUGCAUUCACUGGCAGUUCUACAAUUCUCUUAACCUCUUACAUCUUUUUUAGUCUUUUUUUUUUUUUUUUUCAUUUUACGUUUAUUUUUUUUAUCAUUUUUAUUGCUUCUCAUAGCCUCUAUUAAUCUGGAAUUGAACAAAU